rnacentral:misc_RNA from 1 species
UUACAAAAAUAUAGUUGCAUUUUUGACAAUCCAAAGGAACUGCCACCUUUUAGGAGUCACAACCACUCCAUUCCAUUACUGCCCAAUGCUCAGCCUGUCAAUGUCAGGCCAUACAGAUACCCUCAUUUCCAUAAGGCUGAGAUAGAAAAGCUAGUAACAGAGAUGCUAGAUUCUGAGAUUAUUCAGUUGAGCAGUAGCCCUUAUGCAUCACCUGUGUUAUUGGUAAAGAAAAAAGAUGGUACCUGGCGUUUUUGUGUUGAUUAUAGGAGGCUGAAUGACAUUACUGUCGAAGAUAAAUUCCCCAUUCCCAUAAUUGAUAAUUUACUAGAUGAGCUUCAUGGGG